AUAUCAGGGGGAAAAAGGGCUUUUCAGUUUUGCAGUAUGAAGAAGCUAAAGACCACCGGUGGUCUCCGAACAUCAACGCCGUCGUUUGGUUGUAACAGCGUAAAGUCGAUUUACACAGUGUUUAUCCCCGUGAUCUUUUGAAUAAUGCUUUCAGGGAAUGCUUUCUUCCGUAUCAUGAUGUUGCAUUCAGAACUGGGAUGGCUGAGGACAAGUCCACACAGACCCCCAAUUCGGAAACGCCCGUAAAA